AUGGCCACGCACCCGCGCCCUCCUGCCGCUGUCUCCAUCCUCGCCGCCCCCAAGCUCCGUCCAGUAGCGCCGCUGCGUUCCUCGUGUCCGCUCCUUUCCCCCUUCCUCCCGCGUGUCUCCUUUGCUCCCAAGGCUAUGGCCUCGCCGGCUAGUCAUCGGAGUCGCCUCCCUGCUCCAGACCUCGUCCUCGUUGGACUCCGCCGCCCCAGGAGAGCUCCUCCGGCCUCCUCGUCCUCUGCUUCGCCUUGCCUCGCCCCUGCCUCCCGUGUGCCUCGCUGGGUGCAUGUGUGGCCGCGUCCAGCGCCUCCCGCUCCCUCCGCCAUGGCCUCCCUGACGUGGUCGAGCCCGACCACGACCCUCUCCACGCGCCACAGAGGUCUCACCUCCUCCCUGUGUCAUCGCAAGCCCGACGUUCAUGGCCUCUCCAGCCUCCAGAAGCUCUGCUUCCCUUGCUCCACGCCAAGACCGAUGCCGGCUUCACUUCGUCUUGCUGCUGCUCCGCCAUCGACCUCCUGUUGCUGCAGGACCCUCCCCAUCGGGCACUGUGGACGUGCUGUUUCUUCUAUCUCAAGGUCGAAAGGACGCCAGUUACAUGAGACACCAAGUACCACGACGGUCCUCCAAGAGUUUGGGUUCGACAAGUUCGAUGACGCUAUUGUACAUCUACGUUACCGAGACCGGCAAGACCGACUGAACGAAACCGCCAAGUACCUCUAUGAAUGGAUGCGUCGAGGCCGCCUUGGAAAUCGCCAAGUACACCACCGACAAGAUCACACGGAUGCUCGAAUGAGUGCUGAACGAAACGCCAAGUACCACGACGACCAUCGGCAUGUACCCCUACACCGCAUCGGAAUGCCGAGUUCCUCUUCGGAUGUGUGUACGACUAUCAGGGCCAAAAGACCCGUACACCAUUAUCAUCUCUAA
rnacentral:rRNA from 1 species